CAUUCGAGUGGCGGACGGGUGAGUAACGCGUGGGUAACCUGCCUUACACAGGGGGAGUAACACCUGGAAACAGGUGCUAAUACCGCAUAAGCGCACAGGGCCGCAUGGCCCGGUGUGAAAAACUCCGGUGGUGUAAGAUGGACCCGCGUCUGAUUAGCUUGUUGGCGGGGUAGGGGCCCACCAAGGCGACGAUCAGUAGCCGGCCUGAGAGGGUGGACGGCCACAUUGGGACUGAGACACGGCCCAAACUCCUACGGAAGGCAGCAG
rnacentral:rRNA from 1 species